GGGUGCUUGAGGCUUUUUGCCUUGAGCAUGAAAUAUGUGGUGAGGCAGAAAGUAAAAGCCCCAGGUCAACUUACAUUAACCUGAGGCAAUCCUAACCACAUCUGAACAAUGUGAGGAUAGCCUCUUCAAUGCAGCAAUGCAAUUGGAGGCUUUGAUG
rfam:Hafnia alvei FB1, complete genome.